rnacentral:rRNA from 1 species
GAUGAACGCUGGCGGCAUGCCUAAUACAUGCAAGUCGGACGGAGGGAAGAUAGCUUGCUAUCGGACCUCAGUGGCGAAACGGGUGAGUAACACGUAGACAACCUGCCCCCUGGCCCGGGACAACCUCUGGAAACGGAGGCUGAUACCGGACGGGCAGGAGAGGGGCAUCCCUCUCCUGUGAAAGGCCCUGCAAGGGGCCGCGAGGGGAUGGGUCUGCGGUGCAUUAGCUAGUUGGCGGGGCAGCGGCCCACCAAGGCGACGAUGCAUAGCCGGCCUGAGAGGGCGGACGGCCACAUUGGGACUGAGACACGGCCCAG